CCAGCAGCCGCGGUAAUUCCAGCUCCAAUAGCGUAUAUUUAAGUUGCUGCAGUUAAAAAGCUCGUAGUUGGAUUUCGGGUGGGGCCUGCCGGUCCGCCGUUUCGGUGUGCACUGGCCGGGCCCACCUUGCUGCCGGGGACGUGUUCCUGGGCUUCACUGUCCAGGACACGGAGUCGGCGAGGUUACUUUGAGUAAAUUAGAGUGUUCAAAGCAGGCCUCGUCGCCUGAAUAAUGGUGCAUGGAAUAAUGGAAUAGGACCUCGGUUCUAUUUUGCUGGUUUUCGGAGCUGGAGGUAAUGAUUAAGAGGGACUGACGGGGGCAUUCGUAUUACGGUGUUAGAGGUGAAAUUCUUGGAUCGCCGUAAGACGAACUACUGCGAAAGCAUUUGCCAAGAAUGUUUUCAUUAAUCAAG
rnacentral:rRNA from 1 species